rnacentral:tmRNA from 1 species
GGGGCUGCACCGGUUUCGACGUGGGUUCGGACACGCAGCAGGGCAUGUCGAGGUUCUGUCACCUCGUUAAUCAGCAGAAAAAAACCAACUGCAAACGACGAACGUUUCGCACUCGCCGCUUAAACACCGGUGAGCUUCACAACAGCAGGCCGAUGGGCUGGGCAAGGGUGCCGCAAGGCGUCCAGGCUGUGAGGUAAUUUUCAUCGGCUGGGUCUGCAUCGUGCUCCUUGAUGCAGGCCGAGAUCCAAGGGGGCUGGCCGAUUCCACAGCGUGCCGCUGCGCGGUGGAACCGGCGAGAUCAAACCAGACGGCUACACAUGUAGAACUGCUCGGAGAAGGCUUGCGGACGGGGGUUCGAAUCCCCCCAGCUCCACCA